CCGAAAGUACUGUCUCAGUUCGGAUUGGAGUCUGNAACCCGACUCCAUGAAGCUGGAUUCGCUAGUAAUCGCGCAUCAGCCACGGCGCGGUGAAUACGUUCCCGGGCCUUGUACACACCGCCCGUCACACCACGGAAGUUGGGGGCGCCCGAAGCCACUUAGCUAACCCUUUUGGGAAGCGAGUGUCGAAGGUGAAAUCAAUAACUGGGGUGAAGUCGUAACAAGGUAAC
rnacentral:rRNA from 1 species